UACGAAGGGGGCUAGCGUUGCUCGGAAUCACUGGGCGUAAAGGGUGCGUAGGCGGGUCUUUAAGUCAGGGGUGAAAUCCUGGAGCUCAACUCCAGGACUGCCUUUGAUACUGAGGAUCUUGAGUUCGGGAGAGGUGAGUGGAACUGCGAGUGUAGAGGUGAAAUUCGUAGAUAUUCGCAAGAACACCAGUGGCGAAGGCGGCUCACUGGCCCGAUACUGACGCUGAGGCACGAAAGUGUGGGGAGCAAACAGG
rnacentral:rRNA from 1 species